GGCAGCGCACGAGGCCUUUACUGACGCUAAAGCUCGAAGGUGCGGGUAUCGAACAGGAUUAGAUACCCUGGUAGUCCGCACGGUAAACGAUGGAUGCCCGCUGUUUGCGAUACACUGUGAGCGGCCAAGCGAAAGCGUUAAGCAUCCCACCUGGGGAGUACGCCGGCAACGGUGAAACUCAAAGGAAUUGACGGGGGCCCGCACAAGCGGAGGAACAUGUGGUUUAAUUCGAUGAUACGCGAGGAACCUUACCCGGGCUUGAACUGCCGGCGAACGAUACAGAGAUGUUGAGGCCCUUCGGGGCGCCGGCGGAGGUGCUGCAUGGUUGUCGUCAGCUCGUGCCGUGAGGUGUCGGCUUAAGUGCCAUAACGAGCGCAACCCCUCUCCGUAGUUGCCAUCGGGUGAUGCCGGGCACUCUGCGGACACUGCCACCGUAAGGUGUGAGGAAGGUGGGGAUGACGUCAAAUCAGCACGGCCCUUACGUCCGGGGCUACACACGUUGACAAUGGGUGGUACAGAGGGCAGGCGUCCGGCAACGUCCGUCUAAUCCCGAAAGCCAUCCUCAGUUCGGACUGGGGUCUGCAACCCGACCCCACGAAGC
rnacentral:rRNA from 1 species